rnacentral:rRNA from 1 species
CCUACGGGAGGCAGCAGUGGGGAAUAUUGCGCAAUGGGCGAAAGCCUGACGCAGCGACGCCGCGUGAGGGAUGAAGGUCUUCGGAGCGGAAACCUCUGUCAGCAGGGAAGAACGGUCACUGUGCUAAUCAGCAGUGAAUUGACGGUACCUGCAAAGGAAGCACCGGCUAACUCCGUGCCAGCAGCCGCGGUAAUACGGAGGGUGCGAGCGGUAAUCGGAAUUACUGGGCGUAAAGCGCUCGUAGGGGGGAUGUCAAGUCAAGGGUGAAAUUCCCGCGCUCAACGUGGGAACUGCCUUUGAAACUGGCAAACUUGAGUGGGUGAGAGGAAAGUGGAAUUCGAGGUGUAGGAGUGAAAUCCGUAGAUAUCUGGAGGAACAUCAGUGGCGAAGGCGACUAUCUGGCACAUAACUGACGCUGAGGAGCGAAAGCGUGGGUAGCAAACAGGAUUAGAUACCCUGGUAGUC